CCUGCCUCAGCCUCCUGAGUAGCUGGGAUUACAGGCAUGCACCACCACGCCCGGGUAAUUUUGUACUUUUAGUAGAGAUGGAGUUUCUCCAUGUUGGUCAGGCUGGUCUUGAACUCCCGAGCUCAGGUGAUCUGCCUAUUUCAGCCUCCAAAGGUGCUGGGAUUACAGGCAUAAGCCACUGCACCGGGCUGAUAGAUACACUUUAUUGACUUAAGAGUUUUCACUAUUCCUAAUUUAUUCUGGUGUUUCUUUUUUCUUUUAAAAUCAAGAAUAGGUAUUAAAUUUUAUCAUAUACUUUUUUGCCUCCACUGAGAUUUUUCUAAUUUUUACAUAUGAUUAGCAAUAUUAGUACAUUUUCUCAUAGUGAAACAUUUAAAAAUUUCUAGGAUUAAGCCUACUUGGCUGUGAUAUCUUAAUCCACACGUGUUCAAUUUUUGCAUUUUUGUUCAUUCCUGAGAUUGGCUUAUUCUUUUGUUUUGACUUUGUACUGUCCAUGUCUGGUUUGGUGUCCACUGCAUUUUCCAUCGUUUUCUAGUUUCUAGAAUAGCUGUUACUAAAGCUCUAGAAAUUGUGCCUUUAAAGCUUAUGUCUUUCAGCCAGGCGUGGUCGCUCGUGCCUGUAUUCUCAGCACUUUGGGAGGCCAAGGGAUUAGACAUGAGCCACUGUGUUUGGCCCUCAGGAAUCUUUGAUAGCUUCCUAGCUUUCCAGUAUGACAAGAUGCUCCAAACUCUUCCUUUUAUUUCUUGCCAAGACCAGAUAUUAGUAAUUUCUCCACGGAGCCCUAAUUCUGUAUUAAUUACUAAAUUAUUUAAUUUUUAAAUUUCCUUUUGCCCUGAGUUAUUUAGAAGGGGAUUUGAAAACUUUCUUUUCGGCAAGCCUUGCAUUUAAAAAUGUACAUUUUAGUGCACUAUGGUAAAAAUACACCUACAAUCACUCCUGUUGAGAUAUUCUGACACUUUUGGUCAAUGAUUCUUAUUUAAAAGGGAAAGAUCGUUUUAUAGUCCUAAACUUGUGCCUUUUCAAACCAAAGAAAGCUAUUCUAGUCUAUAUUUUUCUCCCUAUGUCCCAUCUUUUAUCUCCUAUUUAGAUACUGGAAUUUUGGGACAUAUCCCUGUAUCAUUGAGCUUUCCUUGAUACUUUCUCUGUUAGUACUUUUUGGUUGAAUGAGAGACACCUUGUGAUUAUUCUGACAGCUUUACUCUUCAGCUGUAUCCCUCUAUUUAGCUUUUAAAACAACUUUAACAACCAUAAUUGCAAUAUCUAAGAUUGGAUUGGUUCUUUUAUAAUAACCUAUACUUAUUUUAUGGCUAUGAUACCAUACUCUAUACUCUUGGGAUGUUAAAUACACUUAUUUGAUGUCUUCUUUAAUAUGCUGUUAUUUUGACUUUUUAAAACGGUUUGUUCAGGGCCUUUCGUGUUACUGACUUUCUUCAAAUAUUUUAGUGAUUCACAGUUAUAAUUUUAAGUUAUUUAGUUGCUCAUUUUUGUAUUUGAGAGCCUCUUUUUAUGGAUGCCGUAUCUGUUAUCAUAGCCUGUGAUGAGAGUAGUGGGCUGUGCUAUGUUGAGGAUAUGCCAGUAUUUUGGCUCUGGGUACAGUAGUCCUCCUUAUCUGCAGGGAGUAUAUUCCAAGACCCCCAGUGGAUACCUGAAACCAUGAAUAGUACCAAACCCAGUGGCUGUCAGUUGGAACACGUUUCCAUUCACGUCUGCCAUCCACAAGUUUAAUGCUCUUUACACCUUAACUAAGUGCCUACCUGCACUCUGGGGUAACUUCCGAAGUUUAAGGUGCACAGCAAAACUAACACGAAUUUAUCUUUCCUUCUUCACAAUUUCACGGAUGGAAGAUUUGUUCAUACCUUAGAUCUAAGCCAUAUUUUAGAUCUUAGCAACCUCAGCAUACAAUUAAAAUAAUUAUUGUCAAGAACUUUUACAUUUUCACUUAAAGGAAGCAAUUUACAGUUUUUUGGCACAUCGGAAUUGCCAGAAUCACUACUGGCAUUUUGAGGUCAUUAUUAAGUUAAAUAGGAGUUGCUUGAAUGCAAACACUGAGAUACUGUGACAGUUGAUCUGAUUAACGAGGACAGCUACUGAUUGACUAACAGGCAGGCAGCGUAGACAGUGUGGAUACACUGGACAAAGGGAUGAUUCACAUCCUGGGAAGGACAGAGCAGAUGGUACAAGAUUUCAUCCCAGUACUCAGAAUCUACCUGCAAUGUAAAACUCAUGAAUUAUUUCUGGAACUUUCCAUGUAAUAUAUUAAGACUGUGUUGACCAUGGGUAACAAACUGUGGAAAGCAAAACCAUGGAUAAGGGGGAACUAGGGUAUGGGCUUCUGUUCUCCUCUUGCGGGUCAGCAAGUGUCUGGGGGCACUGCCCUGCUUUCCCAGCUUCGGUGGCAUCACUCAGUUGUUAUAGGCUGGCCAGAGACACUGCUUUUGUCCACCACUCAGCUUGUGGUUGGGGAAGGGAACUUGCGUAGCUAUUCUGAAUCAAUCAGCUCCCUAAUGAGUCACCCUGUCCAGUACCCCAGGGAACCCUCCUGCUUUUUGCAUCUGUUGACUCUGGGUUCCAACCCAUGCCUCCUUUUAUAGUAGUCUUGCCUGUUUUGAAUUAUGAUUCCCUAUCAUUUUGUUUGCCUAUAACUGAUCCUACCUGCUUUUGAUGUUUCUGGCAUUCUUCCAAAUUUCU
rnacentral:lncRNA from 10 species